UUAAAUUGAAGAGUUUGAUCAUGGCUCAGAUUGAACGCUGGCGGCAGGCCUAACACAUGCAAGUCGAACGGUAACAGGAAACAGCUUGCUGUUUCGCUGUCGCGUGGCGGACGGGUGAGUAAUGUCUUGGAAA
rnacentral:rRNA from 1 species